rnacentral:rRNA from 1 species
UACGUAGGGCGCAAGCGUUAUCCGGAAUUAUUGGGCGUAAAGAGCUCGUAGGCGGUUUGUCGCGUCUGCUGUGAAAACCUAAGGCUCAACCUUGGGCUUGCAGUGGGUACGGGCAGACUAGAGUGGCGGUAGGGGUGACUGGAAUUCCUGGUGUAGCGGUGGAAUGCGCAGAUAUCAGUAGGAACACCAAUGGCGAAGGCAGCUUGCUGGCAAUGUAUCUGGACGCUAAGGCACGAAA